rnacentral:lncRNA from 1 species
UCAAGAACACUGGAUCCGUAUCUAUUUAUUUUUUUGACAAAUUAUUUACUACAGACCUAUCUAGUACAAUUUUGAGACUUUUGUCCCAAACAAGACUCGAAAAUGAUAGAAAGCUGGUAUAUAAACUAAUAAUAUUAUAAUAGUAACUAGCAUAUUAAAAAAAUAUGGAAGCUAGCGUCUUUGGAUAUUGCAUACUAGAUCCAAGCUGAUAACGAUAAAAUUGGUGGUCUUUUCUGAGGUCGCUUUGUACGAACUGCGCCCUGCUUUAUACGGUAGCACAGAUGUUGCAGAUAUUGCCACGGUACCCUUUUGGACGUGCCUCUAGGUUUCCCCAUCGCUUACGGUGGAACACACCUUUUGCACGCGAAUAGUUUCGCCGUAUUACUGCCAAAAAGGGGGCCCCACCUGAAAGGUUUCCUUCGUAUCAUUUGCGGUCGCUACUCCCUCCGUCCACCCAAACUCCAUCACGUAUAUCCAGCCAUUACCCAAGCUGGUCCGACAGGUAUGGCUGCCCUCG